UGGAUGAGGCUAAACCGUAUGCGUGUGAUACCGGGUAGGGGUUGCGUGUGCGGGGUUGCAGGAGCAUAACGGACUGGUUCUACCUUGGCUGGUGCUGUUGUUGGUGUGUGUUAGUGGAAGUGGUGUGGAAUCGCCUGCCAGAGACGGUGAGAGUCCGGUACACGAAAACACAUGUUGAUAGGGUUGUUGUGUUUCCUAAGUAGCGGCG
rnacentral:rRNA from 1 species